rnacentral:rRNA from 1 species
CGUAGGGAAACCGAGUCUUAACUGGGCGAAUGAGUUGCAGGGUAUAGACCCGAAACCCGGUGAUCUAUCCAUGGGCAGGUUGAAGGUUGGGUAACACUAACUGGAGGACCGAACCGACUAAUGUUGAAAAAUUAGCGGAUGACUUGUGGAUGGGGGUGAAAGGCCAAUCAAACCGGGAGAUAGCUGGUUCUCCCCGAAAGCUAUUUAGGUAGCGCCUCGUGAACUCAUCUUCGGGGGUAGAGCACUGUUUCGACUAGGGGGUCAUCCCGACUUACCAACUCGAUGCAAACUGCGAAUACCGAAGAAUGUUAUCACGGGAGACACACGGCGGGUGCUAACGUCCGUCGUGAAGAGGGAAACAACCCAGACCGCCAGCUAAGGUCCCAAAGUCAUGGUUAAGUGGGAAACGAAGUGGGAAGGCUCAGACAGCCAGGAUGUUGGCUUAGAAGCAGCCAUCAUUUAAAGAAAGCGUAAUAGCUCACUGGUCGAGUCGGCCCGCGCGGAAGAUGUAACGGGGCUAAACCAUGCACCGAAGCUGCGGCAGCGACACAAAGUGUUGUUGGGUAGGGGAGCGUUCUGUAAGCCUGCGAAGGUGUACUGUGAGGUAUGCUGGAGGUAUCAGAAGUGCGAAUGCUGACAUAAGUAACGAUAAUGCGGGUGAAAAACCCGCACGCCGGAAGACCAAGGGUUCCUGUCCAACGUUAAUCGGGGCAGGGUGAGUCGACCCCUAAGGCGAGGCUGAAAAGCGUAGUCGAUGGGAAACGGGUUAAUAUUCCCGUACUGGUGGUAACUGCGAUGGGGGAACGGAGAAGGCUAGGUUGUCCGGGCGACGGUCGUCCCGGUUCAAGCAGGUAGGCAGAGUGAUUAGGCAAAUCCGGUCACUUAAUGCUGAGAUGUGAUGACGAACCACCAAGGUGGUGAAGCAAUUGAUGCCCCGCUUCCAGGAAAAGCCUCUAAGCUUCAGGUUACCAACAAUCGUACCCCAAACCGACACAGGUGGUCAGGUAGAGAAUACUCAGGCGCUUGAGAGAACUCGGGUGAAGGAACUAGGCAAAAUGGUGCCGUAACUUCGGGAGAAGGCACG